rnacentral:tRNA from 1 species
UCCCUUGUAGCUUAGUUGGUAAAGAAUCUGCCUGCAGUGCAGAAGACACAGGUUCGAUCCCUGAGUUGGGAA